AAGCUUUUCGAGAAUUAUGCUAA
rnacentral:siRNA from 1 species